rnacentral:ribozyme from 1 species
GAGAGAGAAGAAGAAAGAAAAAAAAGGAUAUUGUUUUGUACUGUUACUUAUGGUUGGCUUUUUUUGUUUUCUUUUCUUUCU